AUUGAACGCUGGCGGCAGGCCUAACACAUGCAAGUCGAACGAUUGGCUGCCGGGUGAGUACUGUCUGGGAAACUGCCUUAUGGAUGGGGAUAACUACUGGAAACGGUAGCUAAUACCGCAUACCAUCAGAUGUGCCCAGAUGGGAUUAGCUAGUUGGUGGGGUAACGGCUCACCAAGGAGACGAUCCCUAGCUGGUCUGAGAGGAUGAACAGCCAAACUGGAACUGAGAAACGGUCCAGACUCCUACGGGAGGCAGCAGUGGGGAAUAUUGCACAAUGGGCGCAGGCCGGAUGCAGCCAUGCCGGGUGUAUGAAGAAGGCAUGCGGGUUGUAAAGUACUGUCAGCGGGGAGGCGUUACCCGCAGAAGAAGCACCGGCUAACUCCGUGCCAGCAGCCGCGGUAAUAC
rnacentral:rRNA from 1 species